rnacentral:rRNA from 1 species
CCCUUAGAUGUUCUGGGCCGCACGCGCGCUACACUGAUGUAUUCAACGAGUCUAAAACCUGGUCUGAUAGGGCUGGGUAAUCUUUUGAAUGUGCAUCGUGAUUGGGAUAGAUGAUUGCAAUUCUUCAUCUUCAACGAGGAAUGCCUAGUAAACGCAAGUCAUCAGCUUGCAUUGAUUACGUCCCUGCCCUUUGUACACACCGCCCGUCGCUCCUACCGAUUGAAUGUUCCGAUGAAUACCAUGGACUGAGAGUAUGAAUGGGUUCGCCUAUUUCUGCUUCUCGGGAAGUGGAGUAAAUCUUAACAUUUAGAGGAAGGAGAAGUCGUAACA